CUCAAGGUCCUAAUGAGGACCAUCAGCAUUUUAUGAAAGAUUAUGU
rfam:Anas platyrhynchos breed Pekin duck contig113327, whole genome shotgun sequence.